GACAGUGUCUGGUGGGUAGUUUGACUGGGGCGGUCUCCUCCUAAAGAGUAACGGAGGAGCACGAAGGUUGGCUAAUCCUGGUCGGACAUCAGGAGGUUAGUGCAAUGGCAUAAGCCAGCUUGACUGCGAGCGUGACGGCGCGAGCAGGUGCGAAAGCAGGUCAUAGUGAUCCGGUGGUUCUGAAUGGAAGGGCCAUCGCUCAACGGAUAAAAGGUACUCCGGGGAUAACAGGCUGAUACCGCCCAAGAGUUCAUAUCGACGGCGGUGUUUGGCACCUCGAUGUCGGCUCAUCACAUCCUGGGGCUGAAGUAGGUCCCAAGGGUAUGGCUGUUCGCCAUUUAAAGUGGUACGCGAGCUGGGUUUAGAACGUCGUGAGACAGUUCGGUCCCUAUCUGCCGUGGGCGCUGGAGAACUGAGGGGGGCUGCUCCUAGUACGAGAGGACCGGAGUGGACGCAUCACUGGUGUUCGGGUUGUCAUGCCAAUGGCACUGCCCGGUAGCUAAAUGCGGAAGAGAUAAGUGCUGAAAGCAUCUAAGCACGAAACUUGCCCCGAGAUGAGUUCUCCCUGACUCCUUGAGAGUCCUGAAGGAACGUUGAAGACGACGACGUUGAUAGGCCGGGUGUGUAAGCGCAGCGAUGCGUUGAGCUAACCGGUACUAAUGAACCGUGAGGCUUAACCUUACAACGCCGAAGCUGUU
rnacentral:rRNA from 1 species